rnacentral:rRNA from 1 species
UACAGAGGUCCCAAGCGUUGUUCGGAUUCCCUGGGCGUAAAGGGUGCGUAGGUGGUGAGGUAAGUCGGCUGUGAAAUCUCCGAGCUCAACUCGGAAAUGGCAUUGGAAACUACCUUGCUCGAGGGUUGGAGGGGGGACUGGAAUGCUUGGUGUAGCAGUGAAAUGCGUAGAUAUCAAGCGGAACACCAGUGGCGAAGGCGAGUCCCUGGACAACUCCUGACACUGAGGCACGAAAGCUAGGGGAGCAAACAGG